UACCAGCACCCCGAGUGGUCGGGACGUUUAUUGGGCCUAAAGCAUCCGUAGCCGGUUCUACAAGUCUUCCGUUAAAUCCAACUGCUUAACAGGUGGGCUGCGGAAGAUACUAUAGAGCUAGGAGGCGGGAGAGGCAAGCGGUACUCGAUGGGUAGGGGUAAAAUCCGUUGAUCCAUCGAAGACCACCAGUGGCGAAGGCGGCUUGCCAGAACGCGCUCGACGGUGAGGGAUGAAAGCUGGGGGAGCAAACCGG
rnacentral:rRNA from 1 species